rnacentral:rRNA from 1 species
GAUGAACGCUGACAGAAUGCUUAACACAUGCAAGUCAACUUGAACUUCGGUUUGGGUGGCGGACGGGUGAGUAACGCGUAAAGAACUUGCCUCACAGAUAGGGACAACAUUUGGAAACGAAUGCUAAUACCUGAUAUUAUGAUUUUAGGGCAUCCUAGAAUUAUGAAAGCUAUAUGCGCUGUGAGAGAGCUUUGCGUCCCAUUAGCUAGUUGGAGAGGUAACGGCUCGCCAAGGCGAUGACGGGUAGCCGGCCUGAGAGGGUGAUCGGCCACAAGGGGACUGAGACACGGCCCUUACUCCUACGGGAGGCAGCAGUGGGGAAUAUUGGACAAUGGACCAAGAGUCUGAUCCAGCAAUUCUGUGUGCACGAUGAAGUUUUUCGGAAUGUAAAGUGCUUUCAGUUGGGAAGAAAAAAAUGACGGUACCAACAGAAGAAGUGACGGCUAAAUACGUGCCAGCAGCCGCGGUAAUACGUAUGUCACAAGCGUUAUCCGGAUUUAUUGGGCGUAAAGCGCGUCUAGGUGGUUAUAUAAGUCUGAUGUGAAAAUGCAGGGCUCAACUCUGUAUUGCGUUGGAAACUGUGUAACUAGAGUACUGGAGAGGUAAGCGGAACUACAAGUGUAGAGGUGAAAUUCGUAGAUAUUUGUAGGAAUGCCGAUGGGGAAGCCAGCUUACUGGACAGAUACUGACGCUGAAGCGCGAAAGCGUGGGGUAGCAACAGG